GCACCCCGGUCGGUUUGGUCUUCUCGGCUACUAGUAGCUAGUCUUCGAACCAAACACGAUCUAGACUUUUGCAAAUAGGAAAAAAAGGGGUGCCCCGUCAAUAGAAUUUCUUUCCUUUUUUUUUCCUAGCUACUAGUGACGUAUUGUUAUAAGAUUUCUCUGUCUCUCUAAACCAUAUCCUCAUUGGACAAUCAUCCUGAUCACGAGACCAAGCAGGCGAAUGAACACACCACCAACAAUGGCGAACAAACUGGAGAUCGACCGGAAAGCUACUCUCGACUUCUACUUUUCAGACAAAGGAAGGCGCACGGUAACUCCUGGCUGGAAACGGAAGCUCUAGCAAGUAGCCAGCGUCGACAGGAGUCCUUCGUCCCAGCUCAGCAGUUCCGACUGCAUGCAUGCACGCAGGCAGUCUACAGUCGGUCACAACCGGCAUCUUUCUAGCUACGAACCGUAUCAAAGAUCGAUGCAACCUCUUUCUUGCAUAUAUAUCCUAGUACGUUGGACGACUGAAUUUUUUGAGCUAGCUGUGUUCAAAGACUUGGAGUCCCUGUUACAACCUUCGAAUUGAACGUUGGGCCUGAGAAUCUUAUCUACGAAUAUAUGGUGCCACACGAAAUGCU
rnacentral:lncRNA from 7 species